UACGAAGGGGGCUAGCGUUGCUCGGAAUUACUGGGCGUAAAGCGCACGUAGGCGGCUUUCUAAGUCGGAGGUGAAAUCCUGGAGCUCAACUCCAGAACUGCCUUCGAUACUGGAAAGCUCGAGUCCGGGAGAGGUGAGUGGAACUGCGAGUGUAGAGGUGAAAUUCGUAGAUAUUCGCAAGAACACCAGUGGCGAAGGCGGCUCACUGGCCCGGUACUGACGCUGAGGUGCGAAAGCGUGGGGAGCAAACAGG
rnacentral:rRNA from 1 species